ACUUUGAUUCUGUAGAAGAGGUAUGCCUCCAGGGGCUGGUGGGGGUCUGCUUAUAUAGUCCAGGAAGAGUAUCCCCCAAGAAAUCUAGGAAGAGUAGCUCCCAAGAAAUCUAGGAAGAGUAGCUCCCAAGGAAUUUCCACGUUAUUCUCCACCAUCCGAUCAAACCGACCUUAAUCGUGUGAUUUUGCUUGAUCCUUAGAGUCGGUGGAGCAUGAUCCGCGAAGUUGAAGCUGAUUGGUUCCUGUAGCUGGGCGGGCGCCCAAGGAGGGAGGGCGGGCGCCCUGCCACCAGGCCCGAUCGGCCUCCCGUUCGUUCCCGUGGCUUCUGGAGUCUUCUAGAUGGUAGAAAAUUGCGCGGCACGUUAAUAUCUCUAUGUAAACCCGACGUGUGGGCCUUUCUUCCGUAUUUCCUGAUAACCCCCUACAGAAAUAGACAAACACCAAUACUCAUGGAAUUCUGUCAGAUAAAACCCUAAGUCUAGGUGUUGGUUGCAUUUGGAUCCUUUUCUAUGAUUAGUUGAUGGUUAAAUGUGAGCAUUAAGGACUGUCAACAAGCUCCCCCAAGCUUAACCUUUGCUCGUCCUGAGCAAAGAUGGACUCAAGAGUUUCUGCAGUGGUUUUAUGCUUUAAAGAUAUACAUGCGUUCGAACAAGAUCUCAUCUCUGGGUUAGGGUAAACUGUUAAGAUUUAAACUUACUCAUAUUACCUUCCACCAUGGGGCUUGUAACCGUCACUUGUGUCUUGAGCAGUUAAAAGAUAAAACGGUCUAGUCAAUCGCCAUGUCUCAUGUUCUUCGAUUAACUAUAGCUCUGGAGUUUUUGCAGAUUUUCAAAUAAAACUCAGAGAUUCCUUGUAUGACUCUCUCUAGUCUCUCUUUUGUGGUAUUUCUGGAUCCUUACCAAGGCAGUAAUGGUGUAUGCCUUCUCUCAAAGCAUGUGGUAUUUUUGGUAUAAGGCAUAGUGGCAUUGCCUUCUCUCUCACCCUACUCUAAUAAGGUUUUGAUAUCUGGAGCUCAUAGGUGGGAGACAGCUAAUACAUACAAGACAUUUAUUGCAUAGUCAAACCAUGGAUCUAGAAGAACAAGUCAAUAAGUCAAAUCAAGAUGUGCAUGUGUGGUGAAUGAAUGGUGAUAACAAUGGUGAUGAUGGUGAUAACAAUGGUGAAAGUCUAAUUCUACUUGUGCUCUUUUGAGGGGAUACAUACCUUCCUUGCUCUUUUGAAACUUUUGGAGAGAAUGAGAUGCUCUAUAUUUUCUUUUUCUUUUCUCUCAGGUGGGUAUCUUGUACCCCUAAUUCUACUGUCAGACACUUGUCCAUUUUUACCUCUCGUCUCACUUUUUCUUUUCUUUUGAGGUUCCGGGCACUUGCCCCUUUUUAUUUCUUCGUAUCUUUUUUUCUUCUUUUUUUAGAGCACUCAUCUCUUGAAAUAAUGUAGCAAGUGGCAGUAACCAAGAUAACUUGAGCAUUUAUUUCAUAGGGGAAAACAGAAAUGUUUUUGGCUAUUCUCUCCCGGAUUAGGAGUAGAAUAUUUUUAGGUGAUUCUGGAGAUAGAAAUGGGUGGAUAUAUGUGGAUGCGUACUUCCAGAGUAGAAGCAGCAUGUAUGAGUGAACGUGCAAGUGAAUCUUGAUUUAACCACAUGACAAGCUCCUAAGGGUCUACACAGCUUGACCACACUCAAUGCUCAUAAGCAGUAAAGUAAAUGUACGGUUCAAAGUCUAGCAAGCAUGUAUAUAUGGCUGUGGUAGGAAUUUAAACUCUCAUCAUACAGGAACUCAUCAUGCAACAUUUUAAAGAUUUUCAAAGAUAAAGUUCUCCAGAAUUCUAGCAUCUCUAGGAACAGAUAAAUAGCAGCUCAACCUUCCCAUAUCAUAUCCAUUAACGACUUAGACUUCAGAUCAAGUACUCUCCCCACAAGUUCAGGUUUAGAGCAAAUCUUAAUUAUUACCAGUCAUGCCUAAACUUGUGAGAGAUUUCAAUUUUGAGAACUAGCCAUGGCAGAGCAACAAUUCAUCAUUUUCAUGUGAGAGCUUAUCAUGAGGGUUCAUAGCAAACUUUAUUUAUUUAUUUAUUUAGCAAACUAAGCAAAGAUAUAUAUAAGCACAAAAUCUUUAUUUGGGUUUUUAUGAUUAUGCAUCUUUUUAUUAUUUGAGUAAAGUAUAAACGUGAGUAGAAACACUUAGCUGGAUAAAUGGGGGUGCUCUCCCCCAAGCUGGAUUUUGACGAAGUUUCUUCUAAUGUAGCUAGCAGGUGGCGGAGGUGUAUUUGAAUGUCAGCAGCACCCUGACAGUGAUUAGGAUGUCCUCCGUCUCCUAGUCUUCUUUGAUCCUUGAAUUCUGUGGAGCUCAAAUAUACAACAAAACUUUGUGGAACUCGUUAAGUGUUAGCAUAAAUAUCUAGCCUUUAUCAUGUUGAGCCUCCUUAAUAAAUGUUACUCUCUUUAGUAGGAUCACAAUCUUAUUUAUAUUUUCAUUUUUAUAGGACAGGAAUAUAUAUUUAUUUUUACGCCACCACAGUGAAUGUACUUAUGGGUUUUAUGCCAUGAGCAUACUCACAUGGGGCUUACUAUUUUUAUCAUUUUUAUUUUCUUUUCAAGAUGAUAUAAACCUGAUUAACUAAGCAAACUAUUUUAAUAAUUAAAAGGAAAAAGAUAACUACCAAGUUUACCUCCUAGCAAGGCGUUUGGUGUUUUUAUGUCCUCCGAAUAGGACUCUCCGUUUUCUCAGUUGUCCUGGGAGUCACUGGGUGGCGUAGUCGGUGGUUCCGGCAGCGCCUCCUCUUCGUGUAUAACUAUCUUCUCUCUCCACACCUGACUUGGUGCUACGGUCUGCUCAUGAAAGUUCUGUUCAAGUUGUAUGUCUUCAGACCUUACCACUUCUUCUUCGUAGUCUGCCCAUCCAUCCUUUAUGAUUUUCCUCAUCUAGUUACGGUUGUGUCGUCUUCUUCUUGUCCUGACCUGCUUACAGUCUUCAACUAUAUAGUUAGGGUCAGUAAAAUAGUGGCGUACCUUCUCAGAGGGGAAAUGCAUGUGGACUUCUCCAGUUCCAAUGUAGAUGAUUGCUUUAACGGUGCUGAGGAACAGUCUUCCAAGGAUGAUGGUUGGAUCGUACUUGUCUUCAAUCUUUCGGAAUGUCUGAUCUGCCAUCUGGAGCUGAAUGUAUGUCGGUUUCAGGGGCAUGGUUCUGAAUAGGAGCUGAUAGGUGACUGGAUCGUCCUUUUUGGUCAGGAACGGUGACUUAAAUCGACGAUCUUGACCUCCUUGAACUGUAGUGACCAUCUUAGCUGACUCGGUCCACAUUUGCUUGUUCCUGUUCCUCCUGUUGGUCCUCUUCCUUGGUUCAUGUCGGGAUUGCUCUGAGAUUUGUAUAGUCUUGUUCUUGCAGGAAAACAUCUCCUUCCUUCCCUUGAUGUAGAAACUGAUCUUGGCAGCACUAGCGUAGAUGACAGCUCCUGAGGUAUUUAGGAAUGGCCUCCCCUGGGCAUAAUGUUGACGCUGGAGCCAAAGUCGCAGAGUGCUUCUAGGAAGUCCACCAUGCCGAUGGAGAUCAGGAUGACGGGGCGUCCUGGGUUGUCUCUCUUGAUCGGCAGAAGGUCAGUAAUUAUUUCCACAACGGGGUUGCUCCAGUAGUUACGUCCUCAAGCAUCUCAAGGCAGUGAUUGCCUGAGAGUCUAGUAUCUCCAGUGUGUUUGUGCUCGUAAAUCUAGGUUCUUCACUAGGUGGAGUCUGGAGUUGUAAAAGUCCUUCAUAUUUUACUCGAAGUGUACCUGCUCAUAGACAAGGCAGAGAUCAAGUGCAUGGGCCCUGUUGGUGGAAAACACCAACAUAACCAAAAGUGUAUUUGUUCUCUCUAACCUUAAGCAUAGUGAGCAAGACAAAGUUGAUGGAUAAUAAGAUCAUGAGUGUAGCAUUUAAAACAUUUGUCAGAUCAGAUCACUCAACCUAAUGGAAAGAUAAUCUAUCUAUACUUAUGUUGUUUUUUUUAAAUAUAUCUUCCAAAGAUUGAGUGUGCAACAUUUUAGCUCAUAUGAUUAAUAGUGUGGGAUCACAAAGGUGGAAGGACUAAACAUGUUGAAUCGACCGGGUUGGUUAAUCUAAAGUUGUAAAUCAUACAUGUUUGUCUCUUUUAUUCAUGUGAACGCCAAAACCAAUGAGAAGCUUAUAAAAAGUGAUAGUCAAGUACCUUAAGAUGUUACCUUACUUGAAGAGUGAUGGUACAGUAUCACCUUAUGGAAGCUUUCCUUUCUUAGCGGUUGUGCAUCGUGCUUGUGGCACCCUCCAUGGAUCAUCUCUUGUGUGCUAUGUCUUCCUUGUGUAAAUUGUUAAACUUCAUGUGUGUCUCUCUUUGUCUCCAAUGUGAGUUUAUCUCAGGACUUCCCAGGUCGAUAUUGAAAGUUUUCCUGCAGGGGUUAGUCCAACAAAAUAUACCAAUGUCUACACAAGCAGUUUUUAGUUCAAUAACCAAACUAGACUCCAUGUCUAAUUAGAUUAAGGAAGGCUGUUUAACCUAAGCACCAUGCUUAAUUUAAAAACCAAUAGAAGUAUGUACAGUACUUCCAAACUAACACUUACUAGGAUAAACAAAGGUAGCGUGAUGGCUUUUAUAGAGAUCUACUCAAGUGGAGAUGAAGUAGUGUGAUUACUAUUUAACAAAUUGAGCAUGUCUCAAAGGUAGGGACAACCAACAUAGCAACAUGGCAAAUGAUGUUUUUAUAUAAAGUACUCCCCCAAGCUUGAAUUUUGCAAAAUUCAAGUUUGGAUGAAUUUAAUUCAAUGUUGUAUGAUGAUUGGUUGUACAUACCUUGUGCUUGUCAUUCAUCUGAUCUUCUUGCUCUAAUCCUAGAAAGGUUAGUGACAAGAAUACCCGAAAGAUUUUUUUUACAAUUAUCCUUAUAUGCUCAAUACACAAGGUAAUGUUGCAAAUAAUUAAAAGCUCAUGUUACGAUCUGAUCAGUGCUUGUUUUAGGACAUUAAGCUUGUCCUUGGGAAACCAUCAAUUUAUGUCGGCGAAGUGGUUUCCCCUCCAAUGCUGACCUAUAUCAAGAUCAACUCAACAAGAUCUGCAAUAUUUAAUAUAGACAUAUGCAUCGACAACCGCCCUUUUAAAGUUUUUAUAAAUACAAAGGAUGAGGGGGAUGGAGAUCUCGAAUGUGGUGAUGUUGGAGAGACCAAUAGAUUGUGAAGAUGUUGCAUAUGAGCAUGGAGUAAAUGGAGUGGCUAUGAAAUAAAUUCCAUGCUCAUUAAUGCUUAGAGUGAAAUCCAUGUGGUAUGGUGAAAAUGGUAAGGUGAGUGUGGUAAAAAAAGGAAAAGAAAAAGGAUACACGGACGACUUGGUUCGAAACUAGCACAGCUACCGUUCCCCGGCAGCGGCGCCAGAAAGCUUGUUGGGUAUUUUAAACGCAAACAGAAAAAUCCGCAAGCGCACGGAUACCGAUGUAGCCUUUGUUGACACUUGCUAACAACACUUGAAUAUAGGUUGUCAUCCCCAGCAUGGCACUAGAGUGUACUAUGGUAUUUAUACGCACACAGAUAAUCCGCAAGCGCACGGAUACCGUUGUAGCUUUUACCCAAUUAAAGGUUUUAUCGUAUCCACAGGGAAACGGGAGAACUGAUCUACGCUCUAACUUAACCAAGAUAAGUAAAUAGGUGUAAAUAGGAAAGAUGGUAGAAUCGAAUAAGAACAAAAUUAAGGGUAAGAUAACAGUGAGUGAUAAUAUGGGAAUAGAGAGUAGAGCAAUUCUAGUAUAUGGGUGAUGGUAGCAGAAUAGAGAGUAUAACUAUGGUUUCUCUACUUCAAACAGGUAUGUCUAUGUCUGGGACGAACCACGUGAUAAGAAUACACCACAAAGGAUGCUUAUCCAUAGGCCGAUAAACCCUACCCGUCCUGCUAACGAGAGGUGGACUACAGGGGACCAACGUAACUGUCACCUACGCGGCCUACCACACGAUCCAGCUAGACAGGGGAUAUCCACAAGUAAUCUAGGUCUAAGCACCACGCUUACACCUAUACUACAACUCUAACCUAUAGGGUCCUAUAGAUUAGAAGUACUCAAAAUAGUUGUGAACCAGAACAUACAUGAUUAGUAAUUGCAUAAUGAAUUAGAAGUAGAUUACCAGAGUCAUCCCAUGAGCAAGCUUGAUUAGAGCUUGAUCAUGACGAAGUACAACCGGAGAAAGAACCGACAGACCGGCCUUUCCUCUAAUUCUCCUUCGCUCUCCAUCUCGCUACUAUCUAGAUCUACUCUAGUUUAGAGAAGAGAGGAGAGCUCUCAUCUCUAAACCCUAGCUUUUGCUCUGUCUAUGAAUAAUGAAUAAUGAUCAAGGGGUGCCUCCACCAAGGGCCAGGGGGUCUGGUUUUAUAGUCCCCUCAAGUGAACCUGGGCCGUUGGAUCAAACCAACAUUGAUUGAACGGUUAUCCUUGAUCCUUUAGGUCGGUGGAACAUCAUCCUCCCGUUCGUUCCCGUGGCUUCUGGAGUCUUCUAGAUGAUAGAAAAUUGCGCGGCACGUUAAUAUCUCUAUGUAAACCCGACGUGUGGGCCUUUCCUCCAUAUUUCCUGAUAACCCCCUGUAGAAAUAGACAAACACCAAAACUCGUGGAAUUUUGUCAGAUAAAACCCUAAGUCUAGGUGUUGGUUGCAUUUGGAUCCUUUUAUUUAUUUAUUUGAUGAUUAUAUUUGGUGCUUAAGGACUGUCAACAACUCCCCCAAGCUUACCUCUUGCUCGUCCCUGAGCAAGGAUGGACUCAAGAGUUUCUGCAGUGGUUUUAUGCCUUAAAGGUACACAUGCAUUUAAACAAGAUCUCAUCUCUAGGUUAGGGUAAACUGUUAAGAUUUAAACUUACUCAUAUUACCUUCCACCAUGGGGCUUGCAACAGUCACUUGUGUCUUGAGCAGUUAAAAGAUAGAACGGUCAAGUCAAGCACCAUGUCUCUUAUUCUUUGAUCAACUAUAGCUCUGGAGUUUUUGCAGAUUUUCAAAUAAAACUCAGAGAUUCCUUGUAUGACUCUCUCUAGUCUCUCUUUUGUGGUAUUUCUGGAUCCUUACCAAGGCAGUGAUGAUAUAUGUCUUCUCUCAAUGUAUGUGGUAUUUAUGGUAUGAGGCAUAAUGAUAUUGCCUUCUCUCUCACUCUACUCUAACAAGGUUUUGAUAUCUGGAGCUCAUAGGUGGGAGACAGCUAAUACAUACUUACAAGACAUUUAUUACAUAGUCAAACCAUGGAUCCAGAGAAAAAAGUCAAUAAGUCAAAUCAAGAUGUGCAUGUGUGGCGAAUGAAUGGUGAUAAUGGUGAAAACAAUGGUGAAAGUCUAAUUCUACUUUUGCUCUUUUGAGGGGAUACAUACCUUUCUUGCACUUUGAAGCUUUUUGAAAGGAAUGAGAUGCUCUAUAUUUUCUUUUUCUUUUCUCUCAGGUGGGUAUCUUGUACCCCUAAUUCUACUGUCGGACACUUGUCCAUUUUUACCUCUCGUCUCACUUUUUCUUUUCUUCGAGGUUUCGGGCACUUGCCCCUUUUUAUUUCCUCGUAUUCUUUUUCUCUUUUUUUUCUUCUUUUUUUAGAGCACUCACCCUCCUAGAAUAAUGUAGCAAGUGGUAGUAACCAAAAUAUCUGGAGCAUUUAUUUCAUGGAGAAUAACAGGGAUAGGAUAAUGUUUUUGGCUAUUCUCUCAUGGAUAGGAGUAGAAUAAUUUUGGGUGAAUUUGGAGAUGAAAAUGAGUCGAUGUAUGUGGAUGCGUACUUCCGGAGUAGAAGCAGCAUGUAUGAGUGAACGUGCAAGUGAAUCUUGAUUUUAACCGCAUGACAAGCUCCUAAGGGUCUACACAGCUUGACCACACUCAAUGCUCAUAAGCAGUAAAAAGUAAAUGUAUGGUUCAUAGUCUAGCAAGCAUGUAUAUAUAGCUGUGGUAGGAUUUUAAACUCUCAUCAUACAGGAACUCAUCAUGCAACAUUUUAAAUAUUUUCAAAGAUAAAAUUCUCCAGAAUUCUAGCAUCUCUAGGAACAGAUAAAUAGCAGCUCAACCUUCCCAUAUCAUAUCCGUUAACGACUUAGACUUUAGAUCAAGUACUCUUCCCACAAGUUCCGGUUUAGAGCAAAUCUUAAUUCAUAACAGUCAUACCUAAACUUGAGAGAGAUUUCACUUUUGAGAACUAGUCAGGGCAGAGCAACUAUUCAUCAUUUUCAUGUGAGAGCUUAUCAUGAGGGUUCAUAGCAAGCUUUAUUUAUUUAUUUAUUUAGCAAACUAAGCAAAGAUAUAUAAGCAUAAAAUCUUUAUUUGGGUUUUUAUGAUUAUGCAUCUUUUUAUUAUUUGAUUAAAGUAUAAACGUGAGUAGAAACACUUAGCUGGAUAAAUGGGGGUGCUCUCCCCCAAGCUGGAUUUUGACGUAAUUUUUUUGAUGUAGCUAGCAGGUGGCGGAGGUGUAUUUGAAUGUCGGCAGCACACUGACAGCGAUUAAAAUGUCCUUCAUCUGCUAGUCUUCUUUGAUCCUUGAAUUCUGUGGAGCUCAAAUAGACAACAAAGCUUUGUGGAUCUGGUUAAGUGUUAGCAUAAAAUCUCUUUGCCUUUAUCAUGUUGAGCUUCCUCUAAUAAAUAUUACUCUCUUUGGUAGGAUCAUAAAUUUAUUUUUAUAUUUUCAUUUCUAUAGGUCAAGAAUAUAUUUAUUUUAUUUUUACGCCACCACAGUGAAUGUACUUAUGGGUUUCAUGCCACGAGCAUACUCACAUAGGGCUUAGUAUUUUUUUAACAUUUUUAUUUUCUUUUCAAGAUAGCAUGAUUAACUAAUAAGCUAUUUAAGGAGAGUAAGUAAUUAAAGGGAAAAGGGAAUGCAGAAAGGAAUAAUAUGGAUAACUACCGAUUUUACCUUUCGGCAAGGAUUCACUGGUUUAAGUCUUCUGAACAAGACUUCUCACCGUGUUCAUUCUUCAGGUGCGUCAUUUGAUUUAGGUGUGGACCUUGACAUCUGCACCUCUUAAUACGGUGUCACCCAUGUUCUUCGUUUGCCCAGUAGUUCGAAGUGCGGUGUUGGCAGUAUCUUGCUCAGUGUGUUUGUGCUCGUAGUGUACCUGCUCAUAGAGACAAGGCAGAGAUCAAGUGCAUGGGCCCUGUUGGUGGAAAACACCAACAGAAUCAAAAGUGUAUUUGUUCUUCUCUCACCUUAAGCAUGGUGAGCAAGACAAAGUUGAUGAAUGAUAUGUUCAUGAGUGUAGCAUUUAAAACAUUUGCCGGAUCAGAUCGCUCAACCUAAUGGAAAGAUAAUCUAUCUAUAUAUAUAUGUCUUUUUCUUUAUAUCUUCCCAAAGAUUAAAUGUGCAACAUUUUAGCUCAUAUGACUAGGAGUGUGGGGAUCAUGGAGGUAGUACUAGGAACAAAGAUUAAAGGACUAAACAUGCUGAAUCAGUUGGGUUGGUUAAUUUGGAGUUAUAAAUCAUACAUGUUUGUCUCUUUAUUUAUGUGAACGCCAGAACCAAAGAGAAGCUUAUAAAAGUGAUAGUCAGAUAUCUUAAGAUGUUACCUUACUUGAAGAGUGAUGGUAUAGUAUCACCUUGUGGAAGCUUUCCUUUUGUAGUGGUUGUGUAUCUUGUUUAUGGACUUUGUCUCCUUCCAUGGAUCAUCUCUCUAUGGUGAAUGAGCUAUGUCCUUCUUGUGCAAAUUGUUAAACUUCAUGUGUUACUCUCUUCAUCUCCGAUGUGAGUUUAUCUCAGGACUUCCCAGGUUGAUAGUGAAAGUUUUCCUUUAGGGGUUAGUCCGACAAAAUAUACCAAUAUCUACUCAAGCAGUUUUUAGUUCAGUAACCAAACUAGACUCCAU
rnacentral:lncRNA from 1 species